rnacentral:rRNA from 1 species
CCAAUAGCGUAUAUUAAAGUUGUUGCAGUUAAAAAGCUCGUAGUUGAAUUUCGGGGUCAGUAGGUCGGUCGUGCCACAGGUAUGCACUGGUCUCACUGAUUCCUCCUUCCUGAUGAACCGUAAUGCCAUUAAUUUGGUGUUGCGGGGAGACUGGACUGUUACUUUGAAAAAAUUAGAGUGUUUAAAGCAGGCUAACGCUUGAAUACAUUAGCAUGGAAUAACGGAAUAGGACGUUCGAUCUUAUUUUGUUGGUAUCUAAGAUUGACGUAAUGAUUAAUAGGGAUAGUUAGGGGCAUUAGUAUUCAAUUGUCAGAGGUGAAAUUAUUGGAUUUAUUGAAGACUAACUACUGAGAAAGCAUUUGCCAAGGAUGUAUUCAUUAAUCAAGAACGAAAGUUAGGGGAUCGAAGACGAUCAGAUACCGUCGUAGUCUUAACCAUAAACUAUGCCGACUAGGGAUCGGAUGAUGUUAAUUUUUUAAUGACUCAUUCGGCGCCUCACG